rnacentral:tRNA from 1 species
GCCCGGAUGGCGGAACUGGUAGACGCAAGGGACUUAAAAUCCCUCGGCCUUUGGCUGUACGAGUUCGAUCCUCGUUCCGGGUACCA